rnacentral:rRNA from 1 species
GGACUACCAGGGUAUCUAAUCCGUUUUGCUCCCCACGCUUUCGUGCCUCAGUGUCAGGAACAGAAUAGUUAACUGCCUUCGCCGUGUCGAUGUUCCCCAAUAUAUCUUCGGAUUUUACCCCUACACAUAGAGUUCCGUCAACCUCUCCUGCCCUCUAGAAAAACAGUAUUACCGGCUUCCACGAGGUUGAGCCUCGAUUUCCCACCGCUAACUUAUUUUACCACCUACGCACCCUUUACGCCCAAUAAAACCGGAUAACGUUCGCGACCUAUGUCUUACCGCGGCUGCUGGCAC